CCCUGAAGUAGUGCUUUGCAGGGACAGCAGGGAAGUUCUCAAUCAGGACUGGAGCACUUUCUGACGACCUAGUUUAACAACUUCCUUGGACACUUGGGGAAACUGAGGCCCAAGAAGAGGCGGCAGGCACUUUCCCUGUGAUUUUUUUUUCUUCUACCAAAUACUACUUUGGUCCAAGUGGAAAACACUUUCCUUGGGCGCCUAGUGUGGGGAGGACAUUGCUGGGGUCCAGACUCCCUCCCUACCCACGAGUGCCGCGCUCUUUUCACUUUUAUUCCCCCAGCCUCCCCGGAUCGGCGGCCUGGAUGUGAUCGACACCAUGAAGUUGCCCCAUAAUCCUCUCUGGCAACAUAGGAUGUAAAAUUUGAUCAGCUCAUUGGAUGAAGCCGACAAGUCCCAAAUAUGUGUGAAAAGGGGGCUAAGAGGAAAUUAUCUGGGCAGAGUGGACUGCAGGAACCCAGGCCCUACAGUGGAAAAGAAAGGGAUGUACUAGAGGGACAAGAGAAGGCUGGUGGUGCCCACUGAAGAAACUGAUGAUCACGAGCUCCUGGAGGGCAGAAACUGCAGUUUAUUCAUCUCUAUCCCCCAUGGGCUGCACGCAGGGCCCCGCACAUCGUAAGCACUCAAUAAACUGCUUGUUGAAUUGAAUUAUUACUCUCCACCACUGUUGUUGUGAUUGGCAUUCGUCCAUUUAGUCCAUUUGCCCCUUAAAAAUCUCCUGCCAAGACUCAAAAGUAAAGAUGCACAAGUACAAAGAGACACAUUUUUAACAGUUGAUGUUUUUUACUUGUUUCAUUUAAAAUGGACUCAAAUGAAAAGAAAUGUUUUCUUAAGUCUUGCCGGCUAGACAGAAAAGGUUAUCAGCAG
rnacentral:lncRNA from 1 species